GCAAUUGAAAUUAGGAGCCUCGAAACUAAUAAAAUUUUUAAGGUGAAUGGUCACAAGUUGAAACAUUUUCAUGAAGGGGAGCAAGCAGCUUGGUUGGAGGAGAUCAAUCUUGAGGAUCCAUAAGAAAGUGUGAUGUCGAGCCAACGACUUAUAACAAAGGCGCUUGUGGGAGGCAACCCACGUUUUCAGGGAAGUUUCCUUUCAUCUUUUUCAUUAAUAUUGUUCUUUACAUUAGUAAUUUUAAAUUUUCUUUUGCAUUAGGGGCAAUGCAAACAUUAAGUAUGGGGGAGAAUCAAUUCAUUGAUUUCUACGUAUUUGAUGUUUGUUCUGUUUUUAGCAACUUUCAUGAAUAAGUUUUGUUAAAAUUCCUUUAGGAGAAUAUUUAAAUAAAAGAAUAAAGAUGUAUUUUAUGAAUUCAAGUUGAUUGGGGUGGUUGUAUGUCGAUUGGUUGGGUUAAAUUUUGUUUUCAAUUGAUUGAUUUUGGUUUAAAAAAUCUAACAAAUUUUUCUGCUUAGUUGAUCAAUUAUGUGGUCCUUGUGAGGAAUUUGAGCCUAGAGCGUAAGUUGGGACAUCUAUGCCAACUUGAGAGGUUAUUAUUCAUUCAUGUGUGAUUAUUGUAUCAACUAUCAAUUACUCCAGAACUUGCUUUAGAUCUUAUUAAGUCUAGUAAUACAUUUGAUUUCCAUUAAUAUGAUUUAAGAGGCAAUAGGAAUUAAGCCAGGAUUACUUAUAAAAGCCAACCUUGACAUUAAUCCAAUUAGUCAGCUACUUUGAAGCCUUAAUUUCCCAAUGUUUAUGUACGUCCAGAAAUUGAGCCAAAAGCCUGAAUCAACCCACCAUUUUUAGGCUAGUUAAUUCAGUUUGGAAGUUCAUCAUAAUUUCGACAUAUGUUGGCCAAUUUGGGGUGAUGUUUAGUUGGAAAUUAAAGGCUGAUUUUUGUUAGAAAGAAGCAGCAAGUUGCAGCCUUUCGAGUGAAUUUAAUGAAUGAAGCGUUAUGUGAUCACAAGGAGAUGGAUCGGUUGAAUCAAGGGAUAUGGAAACGAUGAAAGGCUGAUUGAUUUAGUUAUCUUCUUGUAUUGUUUAAAAAGAAAAAGAAAAAGAAGAAAAGAGAAAUAAGAGAAUUGAUGACUUCCGGACGAUUAACUAGUCUAAGAAAAUUAGCUCCACCAUCCAAAUAAAUUCCUCCCGUCCACUGCACAUUACCUCGGCCUCAUUACAACCUUUAUUUAGCCUCAAUUAUAUUUAUGGAAUUUUAUGUGUUAUGUUAUAGGUAAGAUGGACAAGCAAGCUUAUGGUGGUUAAUUACAGUCGAUUUCAAUUUGAGAGCAUUAUACUAGCCUAAACACAAUGAGUGAAGAGUGUUAAUAGUUUUAUUCUUUCCGGUGAGAAUUGAUCAAAGAAGCAUGAUUAAUUUCCUUUUUUUUUUCUCUAUUGAAUAAACCAAAAUCUAGAUUGAUUGAUUUCAAAAUUCAUCGCAAGGAUGAGCGAUGCAACAAUUCUUGAUUAGACUUGAUAUUUCUGAAAUUCUUCUUGAUUCUUUUUGACUUGAUUGCUCAGGGACGAUCAAUAACUUAAGUAUGGGGGAGUUUGUUAAGUUCAAUUUCGAGCUUAAUUUAUUCAAUUAAAAUAUUUAAAUUGUUGAUUAAUUUUUAGUUAAUUAAGUUAUAAUUCAGCUUAAAUUGAUUUAAUACAUUUUAUGCCGUAAUAAUUUAAUUGCACUCCAAUUCAACAAUUUAAUUUUCAUUUUAUUUCAUGUGCAGGUAAAGUACAUUAUGAUGUCCGUAUAAACUCAAAUUCAUGAAUAAGAAACUGCUGGAUGAAGGUUGAUGACAUGUUGGUUUUGAAGAAUUAAAUUGACAUGAUUAAAAUAUAAAAUUGAAGUGACCAAAGUUACCACAAAAGUCAUUGGGACAAAGAGGAAAAAUCGGUCCAAUUGGAUGUACAGCAGGCCGAACAUGCGACAAAAUCAGCAAGGAAAUUAUUUUUAAUUCCCCAAAUUCCCUUCUUGCUAGCGGUGGCCAACUUCAAUUAAUUCAAGGAAAUCAAAUCAGCCUUGAAGAGUUCAAUUAAAGUAGAACUCUAUUAGGCUGAAGUUGUUUUUAUGCAACGGGUUAUUUUUUAUUUUGCUGGAGGCUGUUAAUUUUUCCAUAAAAGGGGCGGUCAGCAGCUUUUAAAGGAGAGUCGAAAAAACAGAGAAAAACACACAGCAGUAGAGAGGCGUGGCACUCGAGUAAAGGAAAAUCUGAAAUUGAAUCAGCAGAAUCCGAAUCAGAAAUUGAAGUAGCAGUCCAGAAUUUCAGCUAAUCGAGAGAAGGGAAGCUCGACGAUUUGAGAAAUUUUCUUCUCCAAGAUCAGUCUGCAACUUAUGUUAUUUACAAUUGAUUUUUAUUUCGUUUCGAUUGCUAUGAGUGGCUAAAUUAAUUAAGCUCAGUUAGACACUUAUGAAACUUAGUACAGGAAAUUUGAAGGUUUAUUUGUUUAAAUUCGAAUUUAGCAUUCUUGCUAAAUUUUAUUGUUCAAGGAGUUUUCUCUCUAAAUUAAUUAGAUUGAUCGCCUACCUAAUUUAGGACAUUUCUGAUAAUUAUCUAAGUGUAAUUAAGUAAUCGAAUUUCUUAAUUAAACUUAGAAUCAGUGAUAAUAAAUUAGCAUGCUGCUAAUUAACGCAACUUCGAAUUUAAUUUUGGAAGCCGCUGGAGGAUUUUCUUUAAUUAACGCAAGGUGAAAUCCUUAAAUACUUGGCGCACUUUUAAUUGGAAAUUAAGGGUAGGUAUUCAAGUAUGAAUGUUCUCUAUUUGAAUUUGAAUUUAUUUGGGAUAAGAAUUCAUUUCGUAAGUGAUUUUCUUCAGCCUUGUUGCUAGAUUAGAUUAUUAAAAUAAUUAAAUGACGAUAAGGACUUGUGCUAGGUGGAUUAAGGAGUUACUAACUGAGCAUUCUUCCUCUUAAUUCGACAAUCUUUCAGCAUUUACAAUUUACGCUACAUUUUAUUUGUUACCAAAGAGCAUUAUUAGAAA
rnacentral:lncRNA from 1 species